AGUAAGCAGAGACCCACACUUGCAUCACCAUGUUUGGCUAACCAGAGCAGUCUUUCGCAACACCAUAAUGGACCCAAUACUGACGGCCAGCAGCUCCCAGAUCCUUGACGGAAGAGCACAGGUCUAUAAUAAAAGCUAUGAACAGUGUUGUACCUCCUAGCGCAACACAACAAGACACAUAUCGGCAGUCUCUCAACACUGCGCAGAACAGCGUGCAGGGGACACUUCUUCCAUCAGACUGACAGGUAUAGAAAGAGUUAAUCUACCAUAUCGGUGAGGAGACUAAAGACAAGCUUCUCAAUAGAGAAGUGUACUGGAUUCUUAAACUAGCUACUCGAUUUCCACAUGGUCUGAAUGGGCGUCAAGAUGUCAUACUUCAUUACUGACACCAUUUAAUAA